AAUUUUCGACUUUUGAUUAGGAGAAUAUGAUAUGCAAAGAGGUGGCACUCGAAAUUUUUCGUAAAAUUCAUUUCUCAAAGAUUCUGGCUAAAAUUUUCGACUUUUGAUUAGGAGAAUAUGAUAUGUGAAGAGGUGGCACUCGAAAUUUUUCGUAAAAUUCAUUUCUCAAAGAUUCUGGC